AUUUUAUUUUCUUGAAAAUUCAUUCAAGCUUAUAUACAAAUAAAAUGUAUGGUUUCAAGGAACUAAGAUGUGUGCGUGCUUAUGUAAAUAUAUAGAAAACCUUUAAAUUUGGGUGUCUGUCCAGCAUGGAGAUUUUAAAAUUUAUAAAUGCAAUUGCAAAUAAGGCAAAAAAUGUGAUGCUAUGAUACCAAUCUAAUCCUCACCUGCAAAAUCCUGCUAAAAGCCAACAAGAAUUUUAGCCAAAAUUCAAGAGAGAAAGGAUAUUCAGUGAAAUAGAGCCUUGUCCGAACCUAUCCUUACCAUCAAAAUCUCAAGAUAUUUUUGUUUACAUAAAACUGAAUUUUUUCCCCACUUUGAUUGGAUGCCGUCAAGUGAGGAGACCACAAUUUUGACAUCUGAUUGGACCUAUAUGUGAAGGAAAUCCCCAACCUGUGUAUGCAACUACUUACUUGUGUAGUACAAUAGCCUAGAAUUUACAUUCAUUUAUUUUUUCAGUCCACAUGAUGCAAUUAUAUACCUCAAUACUUAACUAUAACAAAAUUUCUGCGUGGGACACAUGUUCUGGUACACCAAAACUGGUACCUGCCACCUCGGGUU
rnacentral:lncRNA from 1 species